GUCUUUUUGUUUUAUUUUUAAAGUCUGAUCUGCCCAAUGAUAAAUUAAAUGGCCGCGAUAUUCUGAUCGUGCGAAGGUAGCAUAGUCAUUAGUUUUUUAAUUGAAAGCUGGAAUGAAGGAUUGGACGAGAAACUAUCUGUCUCUAUUUUAUUAUUUGAAUUUUAUUUUUGAGUUAAAAAGCUUAAAUAUUUUUAAGGGACGAGAAGACCCUAUAGAGUUUAAUAUUUUUAUUAUUACUUAAUUUAUGGGGAUUAUAUUUUAUUAAUUUGUUAAAUAUUUAGUUGGGGUGACGUAAAAAUUUAUAUAACUUUUUAUUUUUUUUAUAUUUAUUUAUAGGUUAUUGAUUUAAUUUUUUAGUUAAAAGAUUAAAUUACCUUAGGGAUAACAGCGUAAUUUUCUUUGAGAGUUCUUAUCGAAAAGGAAGAUUGCGACCUCGAUGUUGGAUUAAAGUUAAUAGUUGGUGUAGAAGCUAACUUAAUUAGUCUGUUCGACUAUUGAAUCUUUACAUGAUCUGAGU
rnacentral:rRNA from 1 species